rnacentral:tRNA from 1 species
GGGGAGAUAGCUGAGACGGUUUUAGCGGUUGCCUGAAAAGCAGCAGACGCGGGUUCAAAUCCCGCUCUUCCCA